GUGAAAUUUGUAUAAUAUAUUAGUAUUUCUUUAAUAAUUUGUUGGAAUUAAAAAAUUUAGGACAAAAACCAGGAUUAGAUACCCUGUUAUUCUAAAUAAUCAUAAAAAUAGGGUAGUAAAAGUUGUUCUUCAAACCCAAAGAUUUUGGCGGCAUUUUAACCAAAUAGAGGAGCUUGCCCCGUAAUCGAUAGACCUCGUUUUAUCUUGCCUUUAAUUAUUUAGCUUGUAUACCGCCGUUGUCAGAUUACUCUAAAAGGAUGUUUUCGGUAAAAAUAAUUUUUUAACUUCAGGUCAAGGUGCAGUUUAUGUAAAGGUGGAGGUGAGCUACAAUUUUAAAAAGAAAUAACGGAUGUUAAACUUAUAAGUUGAUUGAAGGUGGAUUUAUUAGUAAAUUAAUUUAAGUAAA
rnacentral:rRNA from 1 species